GCUGUGAUGGCUGAGUGGUUAAGGUGUUGGACUUGAAGCCCAAUGAGGUUUCCCCUCGCAGGUUCAAACCCUGCUCACAGUG